rnacentral:misc_RNA from 1 species
GAUGAAGAACGCAGCGAAAUGCGAUAAGUAAUGUGAAUUGCAGAAUUCAGUGAAUCAUCGAAUCUUUGAACGCACAUUGCGCCCGCCAGUAUUCUGGCGGGCAUGCCUGUUCGAGCGUCAUUUCAACCAUCAAGCCCCAGGCUUGUGUUUGGGACCUGCGGCUGCCGCAGGCCCUGAAAACCAGUGGCGGGCUCGCUGUCACACCGGGCGUAGUAGAUUUUAUCUCGCUCAGGGCGUGCUGCGGGUUCCGGCCGUUAAAAAGCCUUUUUUACCCAAGGUUGACCUCGGAUCAGGUAGGAAGACCCGCUGAACUUAAGCAUAUCAAUAAGCGGAGGA